CCUACGGGAGGCAGCAGUGGGGAAUUUUGGACAAUGGGCGCAAGCCUGAUCCAGCAAUGCCGCGUGAGUGAAGAAGGCCUUCGGGUUGUAAAGCUCUUUUGUCAGGGAAGAAACGGCUGAGGAUAAUACCUUCGGCUAAUGACGGUACCUGAAGAAUAAGCACCGGCUAACUACGUGCCAGCAGCCGCGGUAAUACGUAGGGUGCAAGCGUUAAUCGGAAUUACUGGGCGUAAAGCGUGCGCAGGCGGUUUUGUAAGUCUGUCGUGAAAGCCCCGGGCUCAACCUGGGAAUUGCGAUGGAGACUGCAAGGCUUGAAUCUGGCAGAGGGGGGUAGAAUUCCACGUGUAGCAGUGAAAUGCGUAGAGAUGUGGAGGAACACCGAUGGCGAAGGCAGCCCCCUGGGUCAAGAUUGACGCUCAUGCACGAAAGCGUGGGGAGCAAACAGGAUUAGAUACCCUGGUAGUCCACGCCCUAAACGAUGUCUACUAGUUGUCGGGUUUUAAUUAACUUGGUAACGCAGCUAACGCGUGAAGUAGACCGCCUGGGGAUACGGUCGCAAGNUUAAAACCGUUAAUGAAUUGAGGCUGAGAGUGCGACGACGACGACGAGGAGAGG
rnacentral:rRNA from 1 species